UACAGUGGAUAGUCGCUGCUUUUCCAGGAAAAGUAGAGGAAAGUCGAGACACGCACACUGCUGUAAAAGGCAGUGUAGUUUGGUGCCUGGUGUAAGCCAGGGCAGGGUGACCUGACGACGGCGAAAAUAACUCGCUGGAGUUAGUAGUAGCCAUAAAGUGCCACAGAAACUAUUUCACCGGGUGACCGGUGAGUGCAAGGGUAAACUCCACCGGCGUGCAACCCAAAUAGGCAGUUUUACUGCGGGUAGGGGCACCCCUUAAUCGGGGAAGAAAGCGCAAGCUUUCUUAGAUAGAUGACUAUCAUAACAGAAUCUCGCUUACAACU
rnacentral:RNase_P_RNA from 2 species